AGCCCAGUUCCCUCUGACUUCUGCAGGAUGGCUCAUCACCAGGGAACCUAUGGCUCCUACAAGAUGAAGGCACCAGUUCAGAAACAGGGACUGAGCUAAGGUGUCCAUGAGCUCCUAUAUGAAAGGCUCUGGAAAGGUCGCCAGACACUUUUACAACAAUUUUGCCAGGUCACAUCUUCCAGGAAGAUCUUGUCUCUCCACCGAAGACCCUGGCCCAACCUCCUGCAGUGCCAUGCUCCGUGUAUUUGACAAGCUGAGUUGGACACUCCAUGUAGUAGUGUCAGUUUGUCAAAUACCCCAAGUGUGGCAUAUGC